GGAGAGGUGGCUGAGCGGUUGAAGGCAUCGGUCUCGAAAAUCGAAGUGCGGGUAACCGUACCGAGGGUUCGAAUCCCUCCCUCUCCG
rnacentral:tRNA from 1 species